CCCCGCCCACUUCCGGUACAUAGGGUGUGAGCUGCCGCCUUAUCCUCCAGGGUUACACAGUAGUGAAGAAGACAUCCGGUGAGUGUGAGACACCGAGCAGCCAUCCCCGUGUGUCAGGAGGACUGCGCAGGACCCAGAGCCCCAUCACGGUGCCUCCACCUCACUCACUGACACAUGAGACACAUUGACCAGAAGAUCCUGGAACUCCCUAACAAGAUCAUUCAGCUGCUGACUGGAGAGGAGGGGGAGUAUAUAGAGGAACACAGGGGUCUGUACAAGGACGUGAUGAUGGAGAAUCACCG